rnacentral:rRNA from 1 species
AACGAACGCUGGCGGCAUGCCUAACACAUGCAAGUCGAACGAACUCUUCGGAGUUAGUGGCGCACGGGUGCGUAACGCGUGGGAAUCUGCCCUUGGGUACGGAAUAACUCAGAGAAAUUUGUGCUAAUACCGUAUAAUGACUUCGGUCCAAAGAUUUAUCGCCCAAGGAUGAGCCCGCGUAAGAUUAGCUAGUUGGUGGGGUAAAGGCCUACCAAGGCGACGAUCCAUAGCUGGUCUGAGAGGAUGAUCAGCCACAUUGGGACUGAGACACGGCCCAAACUCCUACGGGAGGCAGCAGUGGGGAAUAUUGGACAAUGGGCGCAAGCCUGAUCCAGCCAUGCCGCGUGAGUGAUGAAGGCCCUAGAGUUGUAAAGCUCUUUCACCGGAGAAGAUAAUGACGGUAUCCGGAGAAGAAGCCCCGGCUAACUUCGUGCCAGCAGCCGCGGUAAU